rnacentral:rRNA from 1 species
GUAGAUGAACGCUGGCGGCAGGCCUAACACAUGCAAGUCGAACGGUAACAGGAAGCAGCUUGCUUCUUCGCUGACGAGUGGCGGACGGGUGAGUAAUGUCUGGGAAACUGCCUGAUGGAGGGGGAUAACUACUGGAAACGGUAGCUAAUACCGCAUAACGUCGCAAGACCAAAGAGGGGGACCUUCGGGCCUCUUGCCAUCGGAUGUGCCCAGAUGGGAUUAGCUAGUAGGUGGGGUAACGGCUCACCUAGGCGACGAUCCCUAGCUGGUCUGAGAGGAUGACCAGCCACACUGGAACUGAGACACGGUCCAGACUCCUACGGGAGGCAGCAGUGGGGAAUAUUGCACAAUGGGCGCAAGCCUGAUGCAGCCAUGCCGCGUGUAUGAAGAAGGCCUUCGGGUUGUAAAGUACUUUCAGCGGGGAGGAAGGGAGUAAAGUUAAUACCUUUGCUCAUUGACGUUACCCGCAGAAGAAGCACCGGCUAACUCCGUGCCAGCAGCCGCGGUAAUACGGAGGGUGCAAGCGUUAAUCGGAAUUACUGGGCGUAAAGCGCACGCAGGCGGUUUGUUAAGUCAGAUGUGAAAUCCCCGGGCUCAACCUGGGAACUGCAUCUGAUACUGGCAAGCUUGAGUCUCGUAGAGGGGGGUAGAAUUCCAGGUGUAGCGGUGAAAUGCGUAGAGAUCUGGAGGAAUACCGGUGGCGAAGGCGGCCCCCUGGACGAAGACUGACGCUCAGGUGCGAAAGCGUGGGGAGCAACAGGAUA